rnacentral:lncRNA from 1 species
AAUUUAAAAUCAUAGCCGAAUACAUUCAUCAAACACAUAUAUCUUUAACAUUUUUACCAAAAUAAACUCAUCCAUAAUCAAACAUACUAAAGCUCAAAUAUUAAUAAAUCAUAUCAACUUCACUUCCUCUAUAUGCCAUAACUAAAUUUACCUUAAUAACAAUUCACAUAACAAAACCUUAACAAAGCAUAUCAAACAAGAUUCACAUAUAUAUACUUAUAUAUAUAAGCC